rnacentral:lncRNA from 1 species
AGAGUCAUUCGACUAACGGUCACUGCAAGAAAAACCGUGAAUGAGAGUGCACGCGUUUUUUGUUUAAAAACGGAAAACUGUUUUAGCGCUCCGUUGAUCUAAUCUUGUGCAAGGACAACCAUCGUUAUUUUAAGAUAAUACCAUGGUACGUACUUACAAGAAAAAAA